rnacentral:rRNA from 2 species
AAAUUGAAGAGUUUGAUCAUGGCUCAGAUUGAACGCUGGCGGCAGGCCUAACACAUGCAAGUCGAACGGUAACAGGAAGCAGCUUGCUGCUUCGCUGACGAGUGGCGGACGGGUGAGUAAUGUCUGGGAAACUGCCUGAUGGAGGGGGA